AUUAACAAAAGUCUCUGGUAAAUCUUCCUCUGAAAUCUUGGCAUGUCUGUCCCGUGUCAUGAGGCUGAUCUCUAUCUGAUCAGACUCCUCAGGUGCCAGGAGGAACUUCAGAGCGUUCUGGCCAUUCUCCUGAGAUUAUCAUCCUGUGGCUCCCUUCCUGGGGGAGUGACUCAAAAUCCAAACAUGACUGUAGAUUUCAGUUACCAGAGUAAGGUAAACAGGGGCCUCGCUGGGCCUGGGGCUGGGAGCAGUGUCCCGGCAGUCAGACUUGCUGACCAUCUGAAAGCAGAUAGUAAGUGCAAGGCCAAGAAUGGUUAGCCUAAGCCUGGCCACUUUAUUAGUUCUCCUUCACUGCUUCUCAGCUGGCAAAGGAAUCUCCCCUAGGCACCGCCUCUGAGAAUGAUGGGAACUGAUAGAUACUGUUGUGCGUGAAAUGACAGUUUUUCCAGUCAUCCCAGUUUCUCUUCUUUAUACCAGUGCUUCACUCACAACCUGUCCACAUGCAUAGAAAAGAACAAGGGCAGUGGCUACUAUAAAAAGUCAGGCCAAGUAGGGAGGGUGUAGCUCAGUGGUAGAGCACGUGCCUACCAUGCACAGGAUCCUGGGUUCAGUCCCCAGUACCUCUGUUAUAAAUAAAUACCUAAAUAGAUAAAUACCUAAUUACCUCCCCUGCAAAAAAAAAAAGAAAGAAAGAAAAGGCAGCUGAGAAGAGCCACAAAAAAAUCGUAAAAUCGUAAGCUGUGUAUUCAGCACAAUGUUAUAUAAUUUACAUUGAUUUCAAGGCUUUGGAGGAGGUCAGAGAAUGGCACCCAUGGCUGAGAGAACAGAGGGCAUCCUUGUCCACUGGCAAAGGUGACCCAGACUGUCCUCUGUGUACAAGAAAGAAGUUAAAAGUUCUAUCUUGGGGGAGGGUAUAGCUCAGGGGUAGAGCGUGUGCUUCGCACGUACGAGGUCCUGGGUAAGUUCUGUCACUUAACCAGACAUCGAUCAUUUCUACCUUUUUUUCUUUAUUCCUGAAGUUCCGUGUUCCCCUCUGAGAACAUUCCCCUCCAGCCUUGACUUCCUUCAGUAAUGUCUCUGAGAGCAAACGUGCUGGCGGUGAAUUCUUUCACUUUCCUUCUGUGAAUACCCAUGCUUUACCGUAACCACUGAAGGGUGUUUUCCCUGGGUGUAGAAUUCUGAGUUGGGGCUUCUUUCGGCACUUGGAAGGUUUUGCUCCAGCGCUGUCAUGGUUUCUGAGGAGGAACCCUUUGUUUCCCAGAGCGUCUGUGAUGUGUGGAUUACUGGUCCCCUACGCGGGUGGAGCGCAUCAUUUUGCUAUGGUUGCUUUCAAGAGUCUUUCUUAGUUUUUGGUUUUCAUUGUCUUUUGUGUAACGUGGGUUUGUUCUAGUUUUUUUUUUUUUUUGAGUUUCUCUUGUUUGGGGCUCACUGAACUUCUUGAAUCUAUAAAUUUAUGUCUUUUACCAAAUUUGAGGGGUUUUUAGUCAUUAUUUCUUCAAAUGUUUUGACAGUCACAGUGUCUUUGUCUUCUUCAGGGAUCCAGUGAUGGGGGUUUUGCCCCACAGGUCCUCGUGACUGUGUGCUUCAGUCCUUUUUCCGUCUGUUCUUCAGGCUGAAUAAUCCCUGCCUAUCCGUCUUCGAGUUCACGGGCACUUUUCUCUGUCAUCUCUGCUCCGCUGCUGAGCCGCCCCGAUACUCCCCCCACCCCAGACAUUCUGUUUUUCAGUUCUGAAAUGUUCAUUUGGCUCUUCCUUAUGGUUUCUCCUCCUCUGCUGACAAUUUAUUUUCAUUUCAGAAGCACUCACAUUUACUUCAUAGAGGAAGGUUACAACGGUUGCUUCAAAUCAUUGAUUUCUGUUGGUUUUAUUUGACACUGCCUCAUGUGUUUGGUCUGCGUUGGACCUCUUGGAUUUUCUCUGGUCCUGAUGCACUCUGCUGGACUCCCCCACCCUCACUGCCCAGUCCUGCGUCGGGCAGUCCUGUACUUGACAAUGCCAUGUCUGAGAUCAAGAAAUUGAAGCACAGAGGGCCUGAAAGCUUGCCCGAGUCCCCCGGCUCUUAAGUGGCUGAUCGAGCUGGAAGCGCCAACUCUCAACCACGGCGUUCUCUCACUGAUUCCUCUGCUGGUGGUCAGAGAGCCAGGAACAUGGAUAAUGGUGAACACGUACCCACAGAGUUUCUGAAAAGUAUAAGACUAGAAAGUAAGUGCCCUUCAUUGAACCAACUGGUAGCUGUUACCGCGGGCCCGUAACUUUUGCCCCAGAGCACGUUAGAAGGCCAUAAGCACCUUCCUGCUCUGGAGGGCGUCCCACCAGAGUGAAGACAUUCAGCCGGAAGACAUGCUGCUGCCUUGAUUAUCAACUCUCAGUUACACACAGGAGUGCCAUCCAGACCGCUGGCAGAGCACAGCCCCUCAGGCCACAGGCCGGAAGCAGCGUGGCCACUGUCUGCCUUCGUUUGGGAAUGAAGGGACCAGAAACACCCUCUGCUAUCCUGAAAUUUCCAUUUCUUUUCAAUAAAAAGAAUCAAUUUGAAAGGAGAGACCACCUUCUUCUGCAGGUCUUAGGAGAGUAGGG